CAGUUAGUUGUUAACCCUAUUAAAAGUAAGUUAUGAUUUUCAAAAUGUCACGUCUUGUUUUUGUUUGCUUCAGCUUACAUAGAUGUUAUCUUCAUGAUAUGAUGACUGCUCUUUAAUAUUGACCAAUUGUCAUUGCACUUCACUGGCAAAAAAAAGAAAAAAAAAAUCACAGGGUGUUAAGAUGAUUAAUGUAACUGUCAGGAAAAAUGUUAAUAAAUUUAUCUUAUCUACCUCAUAUACAAAGACAUAAUAUAUAUCAGGGUUUAUGUGCUUCAUUCACUUUGCAAAGCACAGCCUCUGACUUAAGUAAAUGUAUGCUAAAUUAUGAAUGUGAAAAGAAACAGAAAGAGGAAAAAGCAAGCUAUUAUUUUUUUUUUAAUUUUAAAUCAGUCUUCAGAAACAAAUCUUUUUACCAUAUGUUUACACAAAACGUAGUCCUCACCCUGAUUUGAAGUUUUGAACAGCACAGAGUUAUUAAUUAAAUUUUUAAUAAUUAAAAACAGUUUCUGUGAAAAGAAAAUCCAUGGAUCAAAAUAGAGAGAGAGGUGAUAUUGCAAUAUCCUGUGAGCAAACCUAGGCUUUGUGCCUUUGCUCUUUUCCCCAUUGAUUAGAAUAAACUUUCAGCACAAACCCUGGUUUGUUCCUUAGACAAGGAGCGUGGGUACCAGGCAGCUGUGUGGAAUCACUGCUGACCAGACUUUGCCUGUUGGAGCCUGUCCUCAGCAAUGUGUUCUGGGAGGCAACAUUUCUCUUAUUCACUGUGUAUAAUGCAAAAGGAGGACUCACUAGCUGUAUCAAGAAAAUAUACAGCACAUUUCAUUUCAAUUUUUUUUUUCACAAUAUUUUCAACUAAGAAGGGAACAUUAACAGAACAGAAAUGUCUUUAGGUUCAACAUCAUGUGGCAUACCUUCCCUCAGUCUUUUCCUAAGCACUUGGAGUUGGGCAUAUAUAACAAACAUAUUCUUGGUCCUCUUUCAGCAGACCUAAUGUGUCAAUAUGUAGAUAAGAUGAUAGGUGCAAUUUGGAACAGUGACAUUUUUGUUUUCCUUCUUUUUCCCCAGUGACUAAUUCACCCAGACAUUGCAACUGGUUAGUGACCAGAAGAGUUGAGUAACUCUGGUUGUACAUUUCAUAUAGUUUUAAUGGUUUUAGCCUCCUAGAUGUAUGUAUAAAACUCUGAAGAAUUUAUCCAGAUCACACUUUGAAAGCAGCUUUUCUUCUUUGGUGCUUUGAAUGUUGUUGAUAGCGUGGAACACUUCUGAGCACUUGUUUGAGUGCUGUGCUGGAGCUUUCUGUUUCCAGUAAAAAACUGAUGGAGAUCAACACUUUUUUGACACUCCUUGUACCAAGUGCUUAUAAAGUGUUUAUAUCUAUAAUUGUGUCAAAUUAUGCUAAUUAAGUGCUGAAAGACACUAGUAAGUUGAAGUACUCAAAAAGUGCAUUACUCUGAGUGUCACCCGGGGGCUCUUCACAGCAGACACUUGGGGGACAAUUUUUUUCUUUCCAAGCACCUUUAGAGCACUUUGUAUUAAAGUGUCUUUCUGACAUUAAUUAAAUUAAAAAAGCAAGUGACAGUUAAGUGCACAUGAUUUACUCUAAUCUUUUGAAAUGCAAAUGUAUUUUAGACUAAAAUGCCCUUCCUUUUUUACAAUUCUCCGUUUUCCUCCUCCAUUGUCUCCCACACCUUUUUUUUAUUGAGUAAUCAGUUGCUAAAAACAGCUUUGAUAAAGGCUGGGAAUUAACUCAAUUAUGAAUGAUUAGGCAGAAAAAUUGAACGAUUCAAAGAUCAAAUAACAAUGAUAGGGUUUCUAAUAACCUUAUGAGAAAAGAUCAUUGCUUAGGGGUAAUGCUGUAGAGACCUGUGCUGCUCUCAGAUUUUUGUCCACCCUGUCUCCAGGGUUACUCAUUAAUUCUAUGCUGAAGAAUUCUAGGGCAGCUGCAGAAGACAAGAGAUAUGAUUUUCUUCCAGUGAACAAAGGAGAUGUUCGUCAUUAGCCAUACACUGGUUACGCACUAAUGAGUUCUCAAAUACUAAGUGGUUUGGCCAAGGUGGUCUAGUAAAAUGGAAACUUAUGUCACACAUUAGAUGAUUGAACUCUGCUGUUCUAAGAUGGAAAACCUUUGUAUAGCACUACAGGUAUUUAGAAUGAGAAUACAUUUAAAACAAAAACAAAAACAAAACAAAACAAAAAAAAAAACACCCUUUGUUUCCAAAGAAAAACUCAGAGACAGCAGUGCAAGGACACCAAAAUUUAAUACAUGCCUUCCCGAAGAGUGAAAAUAGAAUAAAAUCUGAAGUCUGAUAAAAAAAUAAACAGGCACUUUUAGGAGUGUUAUUAGUGAAUAUCCUACUUCAAGGGUUAUUCUGUUUCAUGAUAAAAUAUUUUUGUAGGUGUGCAGAUAACAAUCCUUAUGUUACCUAAUUCUGACUAGACUCUAUUAAAAUGAUUUUUUCACUUUUCUGAGAAACUGUAUUUAAUCCCUAUGUCAAUGUGCUGAGAAAGAUAGUAAAGAUAUAUCUGAACUUUAAACAUCUUUAAUCUUUCUCUUUAGCUUUCAUUCUUGUUGCACAGUCUCAGCAAUCAGAUUUCAACACUCCAUUCCUCAGAAAAACUUACAGAUUUAGAAACCAUAGGGAGAUAAGAUUCUCCUUUGACCCAAAGACACAUUCUGCUAUCUUACAUCUUUGGAAAGUCUUUUAAGUAGUGAUGUCUAUUGAAAUUUUCUAAAUAGAUAGAAUUUUAUUUGGUAAUGACUAGAUCGUUAUCAGGCAGGUGACAGGAGUCCACGGGGGAAUAGAGGUGAGUUGCUCCAGGUAAAGAGACAUCCCAGACAGUCCUCACUAGAAGCAUUAUCUAAAAGGUCCUUCGUAGCCUGGAGUUAGUAAACUGAAUUGUUCUUCACGUCAUUCUCCUGGGAAGGAUGUCGAUCUCACAAGUGUCGCUCUCAAUGCAGCAGGAGUGAAGAAGCCAAGAACUCAGUAAACACUGAGCUUGUUUUGCCAGUUAAAGUAAGUUAGUUUUCAUAAGGAUGAAAAAGUGCCUCCAGAGACAACACAUUGCUGAGAAGAAUUAGACGACCAAAGCUGCAGAAGGGACUGCAUCUUUGGGGACACCCCAGAAGUCCAGCACCACAAAAGUCCCUCACAAUACACAUAGAAAUACUGAGGCCAAGAUGGUGCAAGGCAGAGAUGACAUUUCAGUACAAGAAAUCAGCAAGCAGGAGAGAUCUGAGCCAGCAGUGAAGAAUCCACAUCGCCUGGUGGCCAGGAUGUUAACUGGAUACAGAAACUGGAAGCAGAAUUCCUUUCCCCCAGGUGAGUCUUGAAAAAAUUGAAUUCUGGAGUAAUAUUUGUUCUUACUUUCUAUCUUUUGUCUAUGGGUUUAUAGUUAGAACAUAACAACAAAUUAUACAUGUGUGAUAUGUUCAUUUACUCAAGUGAAAAAAUAGUUUCACUUCAGUGGCAAAAUUUUGUGCUGAUUUUUACCAAUUCAACCAAUGUUGGUUUUUUGUUUUUUAUUUGUUUGUUUUUUAUUAUUUUUUGUUUGGUUGGUUUGAUUUUUGUGGGCUUUUGUUUGUUUAAAUACAUGAGCUAUUGAGCUUUUCAUUACCUAUGUGCUACCAACUUACAUCACAAGCAAAGAGCACUGUAGUGUUUCUUUUCUUUAUGAUCUGACAGUACGUGGUAAGAGAGGAAGGAUUCUAUUUUGUGACUUUUUUUUCUUCCACAAAAUAUAGCAACCUUAAACUAGGGAUAGAUCCAAAAGAGAUUAUGUCAGUUGCUAAGAUUGCAAGCUUUAAAAUUGAGCACAAGUUAUUUAAACUGAAUGUGUCUUUUUGUUUAUUUUUUUUUUUUCUGUAGCAAGCAAAUUAUUACUACUGGUCAAUAUUUCACAAAAACUUAUCUAAUGAUACACAUAAGAAAGUUUCUGUAUUUCUGGAAUGCUCUCGUAUAGCUCUUUGCAUUGAAGUCUUUUAACAGUUUACUGUUUGGUACUAGAUAAACAACACUGAUAAUUACAUAUAUAUUUACCAUUCAGAUCUUGCAAAUGCACAUAUGGUGGAUAAAUUCUUUCACAGAUUUAGUGAUGCUUAUGUUUGCAGAAGAAAAGGAUACAAGCAAGAAAGGAAAAGAGAGUGUCGUGGUUUUAUGAUUUUUGGUUACUAGAAUUCCACACCAUAACAUCAUGUAGUUCAUAUUAUGGAAUUAAAAUUAUAAGACAUUUUAAGGCCAUUAGACUGCAGCUAUUUAAGUUGGAAUGUGGUGUUAGCAUCUAUGCUGUGUUUUAUGUUUACUUUUGCUUUUUAGCAUGAAUUUGCCUUGACUAAAUGCAGUACAUAGUACCAGUGUAAUCCCCACUACAACUACCAAAGAAAAUGGAUAUAAUGUGCAGACUCAGCAUGUUGGUGGUAUUACAUCAUCAUCAUCUGUUAAACAGAGCUAACAUUUACCCUAUGCUUGCUUCCUCACAUAUAACAAGAACCCAUUCUCAGCAUAUAUGUAGUUUUAUUGAUAGCAUAUUAAUGCCCAAAUUGUGUAUGAUUUCUGAUGCAAGAAUAAAACAGGUAUGCUUCUUGUUACAAAGCAGGACAACCAUUCCCAUGUCCCCAACUGCACCUAUGUAUUACUCUACCCUUGGUUCAGGAAGUCUCCCUCUCUUUGUUCUGAGCAGCUCUUCAACUCAUCAUCAGAAGUGGAACUGCAAAGGCUUGCACAUAUAUUUGAAGUCAGGUAGCUUAUUGGUUAAAAACAUUUCUAUGAAGAUGUUAGGAAGAAAUGAUCAGAAGUUCAUAGGUCAAAGCUCUCUGUUUAAUUUUUUAAUGAUUUCCAAUUCUUGUUGAGGUUCCUAGUAUCAACAUUCUGCUCAGUCCUUUGCACAGCAGUCAUCCUAUCCAUAUUUGAUAUGGGAUAAUUAGCAACCAGCCUGGAGAAGUGGAGCCCUUUCUACCAUCUGCACAAUCAAUGCUAGAAAAUGUUCUGCUUCCUAGGGAUAGCCAUGUAUUUUUUUAACAGCUCUUGAUUUAUUGAAAGGGAUGUAAUGAUCAUGAAGAGUGUUAAACUUAAGGCCUUCUAUUGACAGUGGUUCUGUUUAGCUUCAUUAGAUGUGAGGCUAACAUCUGUCUGGUGAGAUGAAGGCCACCUGCUCAUUUUAUGGAAAUUCUAAUAAUUAUCAAUUGCCAAAGAUCUAUAUAUUCAGCACAUUAAAUAGUGCCAAUGAUAAAAAUGAAAGCAGUUGUUUUUCCCUAUCAGCUUUCCAAUUUUAUUUUCAUUGCAAUUAUUUUAUUACAACCUUCCCUAAUCCUUUAAAAGCAGGCAAGAGUAACAGGUCCUUGUCCUUUCAAGCUGGCAAUUUAAAUCUCACUAUGAUACCAGCCUGAGAUGGCGGUGCUAGAUUCUCUGGCUGGCAUGAUGACUAGAAAGUGCACAAGCUGUGAAUGAUCAGAUUUCUAAAUGGUUUGUAAACACUGGAGAAAUAAGAACAUUCUCUACCAUAGCUUGCCAAUAGAAAGAGGUGAUAUUAACAUGAAUUUUCAUUACACACCAUUUUUUCAAUGAUUGGUGGUAUAAAAAUCAUGUCUCAUUCCUUUUUUUUUUUUCCCUUAAAAAUAAGUGAUAGAUUCUAAAGUUCUCUGUACACAGCAACUUAUAUCAUUUUUUAUUAGCUGGCAGAAUGAUAUUUUUAAAAGCAACAACUAUUUCUUGCUUUCAUAUCCAGUAAGAGCCUUUUCUCUUAAGGGAGUUUAUACUGUGAUGAAUAAAAAGAGGCAGAUAAAUGGUAAUAAAGCUACAUCAACCACAGCUAAACAAGUACCUUUAUAAAACACACACACACACACACA